AUGAUAAGGCAUCAUUUGUGUUCGAGCAGGAUAUUAUCAAUGAUGGGGGAAUCAUCAAUGAAAUUUGACAAUAUAGGGAUGCACGCUAUAUAUCUCCUCCCAAAGCUAUCUACAGGAUUUUCGGCUUUAAAAUGUUUGGUGUCAGCCCAACUGUGUUACAGCUCCAGCUUCAUUUGCCAAACAUGCAUACAAUCGCAUUUCAGGCUUAUGAAAAUCUAG
rnacentral:rRNA from 1 species